rnacentral:rRNA from 1 species
AUACGUAGGGAGCGAGCGUUGUCCGGAAUUACUGGGUGUAAAGGGAGCGUAGGCGGGAGUGCAAGUCAGAUGUGAAAUACAUGGGCUCAACCCAUGGGCUGCAUUUGAGACUGCAUUUCUUGAGUGAAGUAGAGGUAAGCGGAAUUCCUGGUGUAGCGGUGAAAUGCGUAGAUAUCAGGAGGAACACCGGUGGCGAAGGCGGCUUACUGGGCUUUUACUGACGCUGAGGCUCGAAAGCGUGGGGAGCAAACAGGAUUAGAUACCCUGGUAGUCCACGCUGUAAACGAUGAUUACUAGGUGUGGGGGGACUGACCCCUUCCGUGCCGCAGUUAACACAAUAAGUAAUCCACCUGGGGAGUACGGCCGCAAGGUUGAAACUCAAAUGAAUUGACGGGG